rnacentral:rRNA from 1 species
GGAAAGCUUUUGUGGUGAAGGAUGGACUCGCGGCCUAUCAGCUUGUUGGUGAGGUAAUGGCUCACCAAGGCGACGACGGGUAGCCGGCCUGAGAGGGCGACCGGCCACACUGGGACUGAGACACGGCCCAGACUCCUACGGGAGGCAGCAGUAGGGAAUCUUCGGCAAUGGGGGCAACCCUGACCGAGCAACGCCGCGUGAGUGAAGAAGGUUUCGGAUCGUAAAGCUCUGUUGUAAGUCAAGAACGGGUGU